rnacentral:rRNA from 1 species
AACGUGGGUAACCUGCCCAUCAGAAGGGAUAACACUUGGAAACAGGUGCUAAUACCGUAUAACACUAUUUUCCGCAUGGAAGAAAGUUGAAAGGCGCUUUUGCGUCACUGAUGGAUGGACCCGCGGUGCAUUAGCUAGUUGGUGAGGUAACGGCUCACCAAGGCACGAUGCAUAGCCGACCUGAGAGGGUGAUCGGCCACACUGGGACUGAGCACGGCCCAG